rnacentral:lncRNA from 1 species
GUGGACUCCAUGCAGGCUCCUGCCUGGGGUCCCCCGUCAACUAUGUGCGGUUUCUUUCAACCCAGUGGCUCCUGCCUGCGACAAGACACUCAAGGAAUAUUUACUCUCGACUCCUCAUUCUCUCGUUUUGCCAGUGUCCUUCACGGGCAGCACACCUAGAGAUCCAAAGCAACCCAGUGCCCUGGCCUUGCCUCCUGUGACUGAUGCCCGAUCAGUGGCUCCACCUUUAGACUGCAUUUGAGCCAGCUGGGGCACUGAGGGCUGGGUAUCUCUGGUUGCUAACAGCUAAUCUCCAGGAUCACACUUCCCAACACUGCCAUUACCCUGUGCUGCUCCUUCCUGCCCUCGGGUACACACAUGGAGAAGAAAGAGAUGGUGGGGGAUUCUGGGGUCUGUAAAAAAGCAAGACACACCCCUCCUACAGGCACCCAGCUCCGGGCCCCCUGAAGUCUCCUCUACUUCUGUCCCCCUUUUGUUUGGUACUGGGGAUGCUCAACCACUGAGCCACAUCCCCAGCUCUUUUUUGUAUUUUAUUUAGAGCCAGGGCCUCACUGAGUUACUUAGCGCCUCAUUAAGUUGCUGAGGCUGGCUUUGAACUCGCAAUCCUCCUGCCUUGGCCUCUUGAGCUGCUGGGAUCACAGGUGUGCUAUCCCUCCUAAGUAAAACUUGCUUCCUACUCUUGCCUCAUUGUUUCUCGGUGUUUAAUCUUCAACAGCAGGGGAGUGAAGACCCAUUCCUGAUCUCCGGGACCAGUAUCUUCCACAGCCUCCAGGAUGGCCCCAGUGAUGCUUGCCUCUUGGUGUCCUGUCUAGAACUGUCCCCUCCCACACCAAAUUUUAGGCAGCCUGUGGGGCUAACAGGAUGCUGGGGACAGGAUAAUAGGACUUCCAAAUUUAGGUCACAGAGUACCCUGUAGCUUCUACCUUGGUGUUCUGAAAAGUCACCUGCCGCGUGGAGAGGCCCAGCUGGAAAGGGACCAAGGCCCACCUGCCUGGUAGCCGUGGGAGUGCACCAUCUUAGAAGCAGGUGGCCAGCCCCAGUGCUGCCUUGUAUAACUGCAGCCCUGGCUGAUGGCUUAAGUGAAACCUGAGAGUCCGCCAGCCAGAACCAGCCAGUCAGGCCAGCCCCAGAUUCCUGGCCCACAGAAGCUGUGGAACACAAACGUUUCUUGCUUUAAGCCAUGAGGUUGUGGCAUUGUUUAUUGUACAGUAAGGACAGCUGUAACACAAGAAGAUGCUGCUAUGACCAUGCCAUUGACGGAUGAGGAAACCCAGGCUCACUGAAGGGCCCUGGGGUGCCCCAUGGUGGAGGUAAGCCCAGGGCAGACUCAGCUCAAAGCCAGUGCUUUCAUUGCUACUCCUCAGGGCACUGGCCUGAGGCCACAGGCCAUUAAAGUCAAGGGGGACCUGGAGUAAGGAGUCACCUUGGCCAAGGUCACCCAACUGCCUUUCUGGGCAGUCCCCUGCCUGAGCCCCUGCCCCGGUGCUCUUACAUUGGAGAGUGGAUUUAGCAUGGGGCAGGCAGCCCUGUUUCCAUAGCAAUGGAAAACUGCACCUUGACUGUGGAGCCAGGCUUUCAAGUGACCCCCUAGCCCAGCGGCCAGGGCCCUGAGGCCAGGUCUGGCUUUGUUCACUCACCUGGGAUGUGCAGCUGCUGCCAAAUGUGUAUGUGUGUGGGGCUCAACCAGGAGACAAGGCAGACAGGGGUGGGGAAGCAAGCAGCGUGGAGGCCUGUGUGGAAGGACCCUGCCACUGUCCUCUGGCCUGCCAUCUCCCAGCAGAUGGAACCUCCUAAUUUCCUAAGAGUACAAGUCUGCCCACCUGAACGCCAGGCCUCACUCCCUCCAUGGCUCCCCAGUGCCCUUGGGAGAAAGGUGUAUUUCCCACCAGGCCCCACGGUGCUUCUUCAUAAGGAUGCCUCUGCCCUGUAUUCCAGACUCCUUAGGAAUUCGCCCCUUCUUGCCUCUGUCCCAUCUCCUGCCGGUGUUCCCUCCUUCUGGGCCUCACUACUAUUCUCAGUUCCUGAACUUCCCCAUCAAAGCCCUGAGCACACAGCAGGCACUCAAUAAAUACUCAGCAGGUGAGUGAACAGUUGCCACACUGCCCUUAGCUCAGCUGUGUACUCCCCUCUGCCCCUGAAUCAUGCUCUCAGCCAUUUUUAUUUUGAAAUAGGGCUGGCUAAGUUGCCCAGGCAGUCUGGAACUUGUGAUCCUCCUGCUUCAGCCUCCCCUGAGUCUCUGGGAUUCAGGACACCAUGCC